AGUGAACGCUGGCGGUAGGCCUAACACAUGCAAGUCGAACGGCAGCACAGUAAGAGCUUGCUCUUACGGGUGGCGAGUGGCGGACGGGUGAGGAAUACAUCGGAAUCUACUUUUUCGUGGGGGAUAACGUAGGGAAACUUACGCUAAUACCGCAUACGACCUACGGGUGAAAGCAGGGGAUCUUCGGACCUUGCGCGAUUGAAUGAGCCGAUGUCGGAUUAGCUAGUUGGCGGGGUAAAGGCCCACCAAGGCGACGAUCCGUAGCUGGUCUGAGAGGAUAAACAGCCACACGGGAACUGAGACACGGCCCGGGCGCCUACGGGAGGCAGCGGUGGGGAAUAUUACACAAUGAGAGAAAGCAGGAGCGCGCCAAGCCGCGGGAUCGAGGAAGGGGUUAGGGUUGUAAAGAUCGUUCAGGGGGCAAGAUAAGGACGGUACCCAAAGAAGAAGCCCCGGCUAACUCCGUG
rnacentral:rRNA from 1 species